rnacentral:rRNA from 1 species
GUGGCGAAAGCGUUUAACUAGAACGAAUCUGACGGUAAGGAACGAAGGCUAGGGUAGCAAACCGGAUUAGAUACCCGGGUAGUCCUAGCUGUAAACAUUGCCCAUUUGAUGUUGCUUUUCCGUUGAGGGAAGGCAGUGUCGGAGCGAAGGUGUUAAAUGGGCCGCUUGGGAAGUAUGGUCGCAAGACUGAAACUUAAAGGAAUUGGCGGGGGAGCACCGCAACGGGAGGAAUGUGCGGUUUAAUUGGAUUCAACGCCGGAAAACUCACCGGGAACGACCUGUGCAUGAGAGUCAACCUGACGAGCUUACUCGAUAGCAGGAGAGGUGGUGCAUGGCCGUCGUCAGCUCGUACCGUAGGGCGUUCACUUAAGUGUGAUAACGAGCGAGACCCACAUCUUUAAUUGCAAAUGUAUAUGAGAAUGUGCAUGCACUUUAGAGAAACCGCCAGCGCUAAGCUGGAGGAAGGAGUGGUCGACGGCAGGUCAGUACGCCCCGAAUUUCCCGGGCUACACGCGCAUUACAAAGAACGGGACAAUACGUUGCAACCUCGAAAGAGGAAGCUAAUCGCGAAACCCGUCCAUAGUUAGGAUUGAGGGCUGUAACUGGCCCUCAUGAUCUGGAUUCCGUAGUAAUCGCGGGUC